rnacentral:rRNA from 1 species
CCUACGGGAGGCAGCAGUAAGGAAUAUUGGUCAAUGGACGAAAGUCUGAACCAGCCAUGCCGCGUGAAGGAUGACGGCCCUCUGGGUUGUAAACUUCUUUUAUCUGGGACGAAAAAAGGGAAUUCUUUCUCACUUGACGGUACCAGAGGAAUAAGCACCGGCUAACUCCGUGCCAGCAGCCGCGGUAAUACGGAGGGUGCAAGCGUUAUCCGGAUUCACUGGGUUUAAAGGGAGCGUAGGUGGGCAGGUAAGUCAGUGGUGAAAUCUCCGGGCUUAACCCGGAAACUGCCAUUGAUACUAUUUGUCUUGAAUUAUCUGGAGGUAAGCGGAAUAUGUCAUGUAGCGGUGAAAUGCUUAGAUAUGACAUAGAACACCCAUUGCGAAGGCAGCUUACUACGGAUAUAUUGACACUGAGGCUCGAAAGCGUGGGGAUCAAACAGGAUUAGAUACCCUGGUAGUCCACGCCCUAAACGAUGGAUACUCGACAUCAGCGAUACACUGUUGGUGUCUGAGCGAAAGCAUUAAGUAUCCCACCUGGGAAGUACGACCGCAAGGUUGAAACUCAAAUGAAUUGACGG